rnacentral:rRNA from 1 species
GAUGAACGCUGGCGGCGUGCCUAAUACAUGCAAGUCGAGAGAAGCGGGGACGGGUGAGUAACACGUGGAUAACCUCCUAUAAGACUGGGAUAAAUUCGGGAAACCGGAGCUAAACCGGAAACUUAUAGAUGGAUCCGCGCUGUAUUAGCUAGUUGGUAAGGUAACGGCUUACAAAGGCAACGAUGCAUAGCCGACCUGAGAGGCGGAUCAGCCCAACUGGAACGGAGACACGGUCCAGACUCCUGCGGGAGUCAGCAGUAGGGAAUCUUCCGCAAUGGGGGAAAGCCUCACGGAUCAACGCCGCGUGAGUGAUGAAGGUCUUCGGAUCGUAAAACUCUUUGAUUAGGGAAGCGGUACCUAAUCAGAAAGCCACGGCUAACUACGUGCCAGCAGCCGCGGUAAUAC